CAGAGUGUAAAAACUCCCAAAACCCAUGUGAACAUACCUAUCGUUGCUUCGGCGGGAUCGCCCCGGGCGCCUUGUGUGCCCCGGAGUCAGGCGCCCGCCGGGGGACCCAAACUCUUGUUUUUAACGAGUAUCUUCUGAGUAACGUUUUUAAAUAAAUAA
rnacentral:misc_RNA from 1 species